rnacentral:sRNA from 1 species
UGCAUCUAUAGCCUGUGAGGAUGAGAACCUCCGGGGGCAGGAGGUUCGACUCGAGCGCAGCGAGAGAACGUUGCGUCAGCAACGGCCCGCAGGGCG